AUGAACGCUGGCGGCGUGCUUAACACAUGCAAGUCGAACGAAGCAUUUAGAACAGAUUACUUCGGUUUGAAGUUCUUUAUGACUGAGUGGCGGACGGGUGAGUAACGCGUGGGUAACCUGCCUUGUACUGGGGGAUAGCAGCUGGAAACGGCUGGUAAUACCGCAUAAGCGCACAAUGUUGCAUGACAUGGUGUGAAAAACUCCGGUGGUAUAAGAUGGACCCGCGUCUGAUUAGCUAGUUGGUGAGAUAACAGCCCACCAAGGCGACGAUCAGUAGCCGACCUGAGAGGGUGACCGGCCACAUUGGGACUGAGACACGGCCCAGACUCCUACGGGAGGCAGCAGUGGAGAAUAUUGCACAAUGGAGGAAACUCUGAUGCAGCGACGCCGCGUGAGUGAAGAAGUAAUUCGUUAUGUAAAGCUCUAUCAGCAGGGAAGAUAGUGACGGUACCUGACUAAGAAGCUCCGGCUAAAUACGUGCCAGCAGCCGCGGUAAUACGUAUGGAGCAAGCGUUAUCCGGAUUUACUGGGUGUAAAGGGAGUGUAGGUGGCCAUGCAAGUCAGAAGUGAAAAUCCGGGGCUCAACCCCGGAACUGCUUUUGAAACUGUAAGGCUGGAGUGCAGGAGGGGUGAGUGGAAUUCCUAGUGUAGCGGUGAAAUGCGUAGAUAUUAGGAGGAACACCAGUGGCGAAGGCGGCUCACUGGACUGUAACUGACACUGAGGCUCGAAAGCGUGGGGAGCAAACAGGAUUAGAUACCCUGGUAGUCCACGCUGUAAACGAUGAUUACUAGGUGUGGGGGGUCUGACCCCUUCCGUGCCGGAGUUAACACAAUAAGUAAUCCACCUGGGGAGUACGGCCGCAAGGUUGAAACUCAAAGGAAUUGACGGGGGCCCGCACAAGCAGUGGAGUAUGUGGUUUAAUUCGAAGCAACGCGAAGAACCUUACCAGGGCUUGACAUAUACAGGAAUACUUAAGAAAUUAAGUAGCUCUUCGGAGCUUGUAUACAGGUGGUGCAUGGUUGUCGUCAGCUCGUGUCGUGAGAUGUUGGGUUAAGUCCCGCAACGAGCGCAACCCUUAUCUUUAGUAGCCAGCGGUCCGGCCGGGCACUCUAGAGAGACUGCCAGGGAUAACCUGGAGGAAGGCGGGGAUGACGUCAAAUCAUCAUGCCCCUUAUGACUUGGGCUACACACGUGCUACAAUGGCGUAAACAAAGUGAAGCGAAGUCGUGAGGCCAAGCAAAUCACAAAAAUAACGUCUCAGUUCGGAUUGUAGUCUGCAACUCGACUACAUGAAGCUGGAAUCGCUAGUAAUCGUAGAUCAGCAUGCUACGGUGAAUACGUUCCCGGGUCUUGUACACACCGCCCGUCACACCAUGGGAGUUGGGAAUGCCCGAAGCCAGUGACCUAACCGAAAGGAAGGAGCUGUCGAAGGCAGGCUCGAUAACUGGGGUG
rnacentral:rRNA from 1 species